rnacentral:rRNA from 1 species
AUGGUCACCUUCGGUUGGUCCGGCCCCGGCCUGCACGACGACGCCUAUCUGCCGCGUCCUGUCAACCAGCUGAGCUGCGGCCGGUUCGACCUGGACGACGCCUUCCUCCGCCAGCUCCAGUGCGACUUCGGCGGAGGAGGCCAGGUGAGCUCGAGCUACGGUGCUGCAGUCGGAGGCGCAGCGGCUAAUAACGGCGCGCUGGGAUUCUUUGGCUCGGAGGUCGACGUGUUCUCGUCCGUCGUCGACGGCGCCAGCGCGCACUACGGCCUGCUCGACUCGGCGCUCGCCUUCUCCCGGGUGCUCCCGUGCGGCGGGGAGGGUGACCCCGGGGCCGUCUCCAACGGCGCCAUGUUCUCCGGCUACAGCGGCACCACCGUCUGUAAUAUCUCCUCCGGGGAGUCCAACAACUACAGCAGCGGUGGCGGCGGCCACGACGUAACCGAGGUGGCGUCGCCGACGUCCACCAUAUCGCCCACCACGACGUCGCAUCCCACGAUUACGUCGUCGGCACAGCAGGCGCUCCACGCGAACCGGAAGCUACCCGCCGACGACUGCGCCGCCCCGCUCCCACACGCCGGCACAAAGCGCAAGGCCCCCACCACGACAGCGACGAGCAUCACGUUCGGCCAGGACACCAACGCCGGAGCGGCCGGCGAGUACAAGCCGGACAUGGAGGCCAUGGCGCAGGUGAAGGAGAUGAUCUACCGCGCGGCGGCCAUGCGGCCAGUGAACCUCGUCACGGAGCCCACCGCGGCGGGCAGCAUCAAGCCACGGCGCAAAAACGUGCGUAUCUCGAGCGAUCCGCAGACGGUGGCGGCCCGUCUCCGGCGGGAGCGCGUGAGUGACCGCCUCCGCGUGCUGCAGAAGCUCGUCCCUGGUGGGAGCAAGAUGGACACGGCGUCCAUGCUGGACGAGGCCGCCAGCUACCUCAAGUUCCUCAAGUCCCAGGUCCAGGCGCUGGAAACCCUAGGAACGACGAGCAGCACCGGCGCCAGCGCCGCUGCGGUCGCCAGCACGGGCAGGUUACACUCACAGCAGCAUUAUUACAGCAACAACCCUGGGUUUCUCGGAUUUGCGAGAAAUAACAACAACAUUUCUUCCGUCUUCAGAAAUCCCAAUGGAAAUUCUGCCAGACUGUUGUAG